AUUGAACGCUGGCGGCAUGCCUUACACAUGCAAGUCGAACGGUAACAGGUCUUCGGAUGCUGACGAGUGGCGAACGGGUGAGUAAUACAUCGGAACGUGCCCGAGAGUGGGGGAUAACGAAGCGAAAGCUUUGCUAAUACCGCAUACGAUCUCAGGAUGAAAGCAGGGGACCGCAAGGCCUUGCGCUCACGGAGCGGCCGAUGGCAGAUUAGGUAGUUGGUGGGAUAAAAGCUUACCAAGCCGACGAUCUGUAGCUGGUCUGAGAGGACGACCAGCAACACUGGGACUGAGAAAAGGCCCAGACUCCUACGGGAGGCAGCAGUGGGGAAUCUUGGAGAAUGGGCGCAAGCCUGAUCCAGCCAUGCCGCGUGCAGGAUGAAGGCCUUCGGGUUGUAAACUGCUUUUGUACGGAACGAAAAGACUCCUUCUAAUAAAGGGGGUCCAUGACGGUACCGUAAGAAUAAGCACCGGCUAACUACGUGCCAGCAGCCGCCGUAAAAC
rnacentral:rRNA from 1 species